rnacentral:rRNA from 1 species
CGUAGGUGGCAAGCGUUGUCCGGAUUUAUUGGGUUUAAAGGGUGCGUAGGCGGCCUUGUAAGUCAGUGCUGAAAUAUCCCGGCUUAACCGGGAGGGUGGCAUUGAUACUGCAGGGCUUGAGUAAAGUUGAGGUUGGCGGAAUUGACGGUGUAGCGGUGAAAUGCUUAGAUAUCGUCAAGAACACCUAUUGCGUAGGCAGCUAACUAAGCUUUAACUGACGCUGAGGCACGAAAGUGUGGGGAUCAAACAGGAUUAGAUACCCUGGUAGUCCACACUGUAAACGUUGAUGACUCGAUGUUGGCGAUACACAGUCAGCGUCUUAGAGAAAUCGUUAAGUCAUCCACCUGGGGAGUACGCCGGCAACGGUG